rnacentral:tRNA from 1 species
CGGAUAGAAGCCCACUGGUUUGGGUGUUUAGCUGUUAACUAAAGUUUUGUAGGAUCGAGGCCUGCCUAUCUAG